CUGAUGUCUCCAUGUUUCUGAGC
rnacentral:piRNA from 1 species